rnacentral:rRNA from 1 species
UACGGGGGGGGCAAGCGUUGUUCGGAAUUACUGGGCGUAAAGAGCUCGUAGGCGGUCUGUCACGUCGGAUGUGAAAACUCGGGGCUCAACCCCGAGCCUGCAUUCGAUACGGGCAGACUUGAGUUCGGCAGGGGAGACUGGAAUUCCUGGUGUAGCGGUGAAAUGCGCAGAUAUCAGGAGGAACACCGGUGGCGAAGGCGGGUCUCUGGGCCGAUACUGACGCUGAGGAGCGAAAGCGUGGGGAGCGAACAGG